AACGAACGCUGGCGUCAUGCCUAACACAUGCAAGUCUAACGAGAUCCUUCGGGGUCUAGUGGCGCACGGGUGCGUAACGCGUGGGAAUCUGCCCUUUGCUUCGGAAUAACAGUUAGAAAUGACUGCUAAUACCGGAUGAUGUCUUCGGACCAAAGAAUUAUCGGCAAGGGAUGAGCCCGCGUAGGAUUAGGUAGUUGGUGGGGUAAAGGCCUACCAAGCCGACGAUCCUUAGCUGGUCUGAGAGGAUGAUCAGCCACACUGGGACUGAGACACGGCCCAGACUCCUACGGGAGGCAGCAGUGGUGAAUAUUGGACAAUGGGCGCAAGCCUGAUCCAGCAAUGCCGCGUGAGUGAUGAAGGCCUUCGGGUCGUAAAGCUCUUUUACCAGGGAUGAUAAUGACAGUACCUGGAGAAUAAGCUCCGGCUAACUCCGUGCCAGCAGCCGCCGCGGUAA
rnacentral:rRNA from 1 species